GACGAACGCUGGCGGCGUGCUUAACACAUGCAAGUCGAACGGAAAGGCCCUGCUUGCAGGGUACUCGAGUGGCGAACGGGUGAGUAACACGUGGGUGAUCUGCCCUGCACUUCGGGAUAAGCCUGGGAAACGGGGUCUAAUACGGGAAAGGAGCCAUUUUUAGGGGGAGGGUUGGAAAGUUUUUUUCGGUGUAGGAUGAGCUCGCGGCCUAUCAGCUUGUUGGUGGGGUAAUGGCCUACCAAGGCGGCGACGGGUAGCCGGCCUGAGAGGGUGGACGGCCACAUUGGGACUGAGAUACGGCCCAGACUCCUACGGGAGGCAGCAGUGGGGAAUAUUGCACAAUGGGCGCAAGCCUGAUGCAGCGACGCCGCGUGGGGGAUGACGGCCUUCGGGUUGUAAACUCCUUUCGCUAGGGACGAAGCUUUUUGUGACGGUACCUAGAUAAGAAGCACCGGCUAACUACGU
rnacentral:rRNA from 1 species